UUUGGAUUAAUGCCCCAUGGUAUGUUUAAGCGGCAUCGCUUUUACAUUAAAGGCUACGGUACAGGAUGACUAUGCGUCCCAUUAGUUAGUUGGUAAGGUAACGGCUUACCAAGGCAGCGAUGGGUAGGGGCCCUGAGAGGGGGAUCCCCCACACUGGUACUGAGACACGGACCAGACUCCUACGGGAGGCAGCAGUGAGGAAUAUUGGACAAUGGGCGGGAGCCUGAUCCAGCCAUGCCGCGUGCAGGAAGACGGUCCUAUGGAUUGUAAACUGCUUUUGUACGGGAAGAACAAGGGGCACGUGUGCCCUUCUGACGGUACCGUAAGAAUAAGGAUCGGCUAACUCCGUGCCAGCAGCCGCGGUAAUACGGAGGAUCCGAGCGUUAUCCGGAAUCAUUGGGUUUAAAGGGUCCGUAGGCGGGCCAUUAAGUCAGGGGUGAAAGUCUGCGGCUCAACCGUAGAAUUGCCCUUGAUACUGGUGGUCUUGAGUUAUGGUGAAGUAACUAGAAUAUGUAGUGUAGCGGUGAAAUGCAUAGAUAUUACAUAGAAUACCGAUUGCGAAGGCAGGUUACUAACCAUAUACUGACGCUGAUGGACGAAAGCGUGGGGAGCGAACAGGAUUAGAUACCCUGGUAGUCCACGCCGUAAACGAUGGAUACUAGCUGUCCGGAUGCAAAUCUGGGCGGCCAAGCGAAAGUGAUAAGUAUCCCACCUGGGGAGUACGUCCGCAAGGAUGAAACUCAAAGG
rnacentral:rRNA from 1 species